GACGAACGCUGGCGGCGUGCUUAACACAUGCAAGUCGAACGAUGAAGCCGGAGCUUGCUCCGGUGGAUUAGUGGCGAACGGGUGAGUAACACGUGAGCAAUCUGCCCUUGACUCUGGGAUAACUGCGGUAAACUGUAGCUAAUACCGGAUACGACACCUUGGGGCAUCCCAGGGUGUGGAAAGAAUUUCGGUCAAGGAUGAGCUCGCGGCCUAUCAGCUAGUUGGUGAGGUAAUGGCUCCCCAAGACGACGACGGGUAGCCGGCCUGAGAGGGUGACCGGCCACACUGGAACUGAGACGCGGUCCAGACUCCUACGGGAGGCAGCAGUGGGGAAUAUUGCACAAUGGGCGAAAGCCUGAUGCAGCAACGCCGCGUGAGGGAUGAAGGCCUUCGGGUUGUAAACCUCUUUUAGCAGGGAAGAAGCGAAAGUGACGGUACCUGCAGAAAAAGCACCGGCUAACUACGUGCCAGCCGCCGCAGUAA
rnacentral:rRNA from 1 species